UACGGGGGGAGCAAGCGUUGUCAGGAUUUACUGGGCGUAAAGGGCGCGUAGGCGGCCUGUGCAAGUCAGUUGUGAAAUCUCCGAGCUUAACUCGGAACGGUCAACUGAUACUGCUCGGCUAGAGUGCGGAAGGGGCAACUGGAAUUCUUGGUGUAGCGGUGAAAUGCGUAGAUAUCAAGAGGAACACCUGCGGCGAAGGCGGGUUGCUGGGCCGACACUGACGCUGAUGCGCGAAAGCUAGGGGAGCGAACGGG
rnacentral:rRNA from 1 species